UACGGGGGGGGCAAGCGUUGUUCGGAAUUACUGGGCGUAAAGGGCUCGUAGGCGGCCAACUAAGUCGGACGUGAAAUCCCUCGGCUUAACCGGGGAACUGCGUCCGAUACUGGAUGGCUUGAGUUUGGGAGAGGGAUGCGGAAUUCCAGGUGUAGCGGUGAAAUGCGUAGAGAUCGGGAGGAAGGCCGGUGGCGAAGGCGGCGCUCUGGAACGUUUCUGACGCUGAGGCUCGAAAGCGUGGGGAGCAAACAGG
rnacentral:rRNA from 1 species